UACGUAGGGUGCGAGCGUUAAUCGGAAUUACUGGGCGUAAAGCGUGCGCAGGCGGUUUGCUAAGACCGAUGUGAAAUCCCCGGGCUUAACCUGGGAACUGCAUUGGUGACUGCAUCGCUCGAGUAUGGCAGAGGGGGGUAGAAUUCCACGUGUAGCAGUGAAAUGCGUAGAGAUGUGGAGGAAUACCGAUGGCGAAGGCAGCCCCCUGGGUCAAUACUGACGCUCAUGCACGAAAGCGUGGGGAGCAAACAGG
rnacentral:rRNA from 1 species